UACAAGUGGAUUUUUCUUUGCUUGGUAUAUUAGAUGUUGGAGAUGAUGUUGGAGUGUAGACUGGAUGUCUUAGUGUUGGGUUAUUCUAGACUAUUGUGCUAUGGGCUCUAUCGGAAAAUGCCACACUGUGCGUGGCAAGGUGCAUCUGAUUAUGUUCUAGCGGAGUGGAUUGUAUUCCAAAGACCAGUGGACGAUUGCGAAUGAUAUUGCGCUUGGGAUGUAGGAGCCUUUCCGAAGUCUGAACCACCACAGUGAGCGCGGGUACCCCAAUGGAUUGGGCUGCACGUCGCAGCGUUCAUGUGCAUUGCAUUGCAUUCAUGCAUUGAUAUUUAUCUGAUCAACCUGACUUUGUUUUAUUGCCACUUUUGUGUUAAUUAUACUAAAUUACUAGGUAUAGCUUUAUAUUGUGGUAUUUUUGUGGAUUCUCAUGUUUAGUCAUUAUAUCGCUUAUUGCUCACUAAGUUGGAAGUAGUCACUUUACUCCCUGCACCAUGUGUGCAGAUUCAGGUGCGACAGGAGCUUAGUUGAGCGGUUUGCAGUCUUUCAGAGUCGCUUCAGAGUUUUCAAGAUAGUUGCCCGGCAUCCGCAGGACCCGACUUCUCCCCCUUAUCCAUUUAUAAUUACGCACCCUAGACUUAUGUAUUUUGAAGAUUUAUUACUCGGUUGUAUUUAGAUGCUCUAAAUUCGUGACCCCAGAUGUGUUGGGA
rnacentral:lncRNA from 1 species